UUGUUCAUAGUUGAGGUGUCUACAGAAAAACCAUAAAUUGGGAAAGCUAAUAGGUUGUAUUCAUUCCUCUUGAAGACAGCUCCCAGGUCAGCCCUACUCCUUUCACCUCUACAAACUCUUCACCAGCCAGCAUCUCUCAUCUCACCUUGAGGAAAUGGCCCAAUGAGGAAUGCAACAGCAAGAGGCAAGCUAAGUACAUUUCAAUUCUUUCUGAGAGGAAGAAAUCUUUCUCAACAAGUCUGAUGGAGCAAUAAAUACUGGACAUCUGUGUGUUGUGCCAUGGGCAGAUCAGAUACAGAAAACUUCCAGCUUAUGAAUGAGAUCCAUGAUGCAGAGAGACAGUUAUCACAAGCAGCAUCACAUGGGAUUGCCAGGUCAUAACCACUGUAGACCAAAGCCAAAUGCCACUGGGCCGAGGCAAGUUGAGACUGCCAAGCAGGUCCAGGGACUGAGGUACUGAGUGCACAAAUUCAUUAUGAAAUGAGAAAUUCUGUGUGUGCCCUAGGAGCAUAUUGUUGGAGAACAGAAAGGCCUAUAGCCACCACCAACAAGAAGCAACAUGACUGAAUCUGGAUGAUGGAUAUUCAGGAGCAUGACUCAAGAGGGUACACUCACAUUCUCUCCCUCCUCAACCCUCCAAUUGUAUCUUCCUCUUACUCACUUCUAGUGAAUUACAUUGCUUCCUAUUUUUAUGAAAAUGGCUAAAGCCAUCAGAAAAGUCCUUGUCUACUAUUUAAUUUCUACAGCUUGGUUCUACACUCAUCCUCACAUUUGAACCAAAACUAGUCUUCCUGCCUCCAGUUCUCCCCACCUCCAAACACUCCAGGUUUCUACUUCAACCUAAUCACCUUCCUAAGUCCCAGUUUCCAUUAUGGCACUCUGCUCAAAAACUUUCAAAGAAUCUACAUGUCUAUCAACAUGGCCCUCUAAAAUUUGAUUGUGGCUAUUUCCAACAUAAAUGUUCUCAAUGCAGAUCAUUCCCUUUUAUAUUCUAACUCUACAAAGACUGUCUUCUCUUCUGUCUUUCUCCAAGACUUCUAGAAAACAAAAAUUGAGGCAAAGAUUACAGGGUAUUACUUUAUUCAGGGAGGUGUAUUCUCAGGACAAGAAUGAAGGAAAAGGAAAGUGAGGCAGGGAAAGAUAGCAAGCUAUGUGAGAUAAGCAUAACAACAAUGGCCUCUACUUCACCAUAAGCUUGAAGUACCUCAGCCAGUCACUUAUUAGGUCACUCACUCAGUUACCUAGGAUGUCUCCAAAUAGGUUGGUCAUAGAAACUGUCUCAGAUUAGCCUGUUAGAAGAAGAAAGGAAAAGAAUACUUAUCUGUUCAAAUUCUAGCUCCUGGUUUUCUUUAGCCAAAGUAAACUCUCCCACACCUCUAGGUUGCAUCUUCUGGGCCUUUUGCAAGCUGCUUAGAAAGCUCAAACUUAUGCUUAAUAGUGAUAAUUCCUACAGGUAUCAAUGUGGUAGUCUCCCAAGCACGGAGCUGGCCAGUGUUGGGUGAUAGAACCUCAUAGACCACAAAUUCUGUCAGGCACAGCAGCUCAGGCAAAACAGAUGGAUGGAAGAGGUAAAGGUCCUAGAACCAGAUGAGACCAAGAAAAUCUGCAGAGGUGUGUAAAUUCAGUAAGCCAUCUCCCCAUCCAGACAAAGCCAGUGCUUCCAUAAAAUUUGCCCACUGAUCAUUCAAUUCCCUGAAUUCCUUGUAGAUGUAUGCUUAUAUUCUGCUAGGUUGUGAAAGCUAUUUAAAGGUGGUGUGUGGCUUAGCCAGUUUGGUUCAGUGGAUAGAGCAUUGGCCUGUGGACUGAAGGGUCCCGAAUUUGAUUCCAGUCAAGGGCACAUGCCUGGGUUGUGGGCUCGAUCCCCAGCAAGGGACAUACAGGAGGC